UGGCAACCAGUUAAGUUAACCAGGUUCCUUUACUUGCAGAGGCCUGCUCUGAGAUGGCGAGGAAACCCUCCUCCUUGGAAGUGUAGCAGCCUAUUCCCUAUAUGGACUGCCGGAAGGAAUCCUGGAGACAGUG